UACGUAGGGGGCUAGCGUUGUCCGGAUUUAUUGGGCGUAAAGAGCGUGUAGGCGGCCAGGUAGGUCCGGUGUGAAAACUCGAGGCUUGACCUCGAGAUGUCAUCGGAAACCAUCUGGCUAGAGUCCGGAAGAGGAAAGUGGAAUUCCUGGUGUAGCGGUGAAAUGCGCAGAUAUCAGGAAGAACACCAAUGGCGAAAGCAGCUUUCUGGGACGGUACUGACGCUGAGACGCGAAAGCGUGGGGAGCGAACAGG
rnacentral:rRNA from 1 species